UGCCCGGCUGCUCUGACCGCGAGCGGCUGGGUGUCGGUGCCCUGCUCUCCUCUGGGCGCCAGGAUGUUCCUGCCCAGUGCGUGUCCAGAAUAGCCGCUCAGACACCGGCUCCAGAAGAACUAGGUAGCCUGUUCCCACUCAGAAACUCAUUCCACAUGGUUUGGGUGGUCCUACCACUGCCCUCACCCGCGUCAACAAAGGAGUGGGAACCGAACUCAGGCCCUGCCCAUCAGAUCAUCGAAUUCCUCUGGCCACAGUGAUUGGGUUGUGAUCAGUUAGGAUUCUGCACUUGUGACUGAAAAAUCCUUGUACAGGAACCAACCUUCUGGAAACUUCUCCCAUGUGUCAGGCCCACAGCACCUAGCACUGGAUGAGACACAUCACAAAUCCUGGACAAACUCUUGCUGAAACCAUGACAUGUCGAUGGCCCUUCACAGAAGACUUCACAAAAGGCUUCCCAUAACCCUAUUAAUGGAAAAAGGUGACGUGGGCAGAGUAUGCAGUUGUACCUGUUGAAAUAAACAUGCUCUUUGCAACGAUCA